ACGGGAGGCAGCAGUGGGGAAUAUUGGACAAUGGGGGGAACCCUGAUCCAGCGACGCCGCGUGAGUGAAGAAGUAUUUCGGUAUGUAAAGCUCUAUCAGCAGGGAAGAUGAUGACGGUACCUGACUAAGAAGCCCCGGCUAGCUACGUGCCAGCAGCCGCGGUAAUACGUAGGGGGCAAGCGUUAUCCGGAUUUACUGGGUGUAAAGGGAGCGUAGGCGGCCGCGCAAGUCAGAUGUGAAACCCCGGGGCUUAACUCCGGGACUGCAUUUGAAACUGUGAUGCUAGAGUGCGGGAGAGGUAAGCGGAAUUCCUAGUAUAGCGGUGAAAUGCGUAGAUAUUAGGAAGAACACCAGUGGCGAAGGCGGCUUACUGGACCGUAACUGACGCUGAGGCUCGAAAGCGUGGGGAGCAAACAGGAUUAGAUACCCUGGUA
rnacentral:rRNA from 1 species